UAUAAUAAAAGGUUGGUAAAUAUUAUUCAUGUCAGAUCUUUCAUUUAGUGAUCUCGAGGGACAAACACAACACAUGGUUAUAUGUAAAAGACCUUUUAUAAAGACGUUAAUUUUAUAAAGGAGAUCUUGCAUCUCUUUAAGUGCUAUAAUUUUUUUUUUUAUAAAUUGAUACAAAAAUUUAAUGUUUGUCAAAUGAAAAUGAGAAACAAUAUGUCUGGAAUUCUCAAGGUUGUUUAUGUUGUGAUCUUCUUUAUUUCCAUGUUUUGUUGUUUAAAUUGCAUUACCUCCAGACGAACAUAUUAUUGUCAUUAUGAUGAACAGUGUGAUAAAGAUUGUCCCAUUCCUCUCAAAGGUUAUUGUGUUUAUAAAACAUGUUAUUGCAAAAGAUGAUUACAUUAAGCUUGUAAUUCCAGUUACAUAUAAGCCUAUAAUCUCAACUUAAACAUUAUGACAGUGUAAAACUUAUGAUACAUUCACAUUUCAAUUUAUAUUGUUUUGAUAUUCCAAA